rnacentral:rRNA from 1 species
CAAUAACACUGAAGAAAUUGGUACUAAUUCCCCAUAACACCUGAUAGGGCAUCCUAUUAGGUUGAAAGUUCCGGCGGUUUGAGAUGGACAUGCGUUGUAUUAGCUAGUUGGUGAGGUAAUGGCUCACCAAGGCGACGAUACAGUAGGGGGACUGAGAGGUUAACCCCCACAUUGGUACUGAGACACGGACCAAACUCCUACGGGAGGCAGCAGUGAGGAAUAUUGGUCAAUGGACGCAAGUCUGAACCAGCCAUGCCGCGUGCAGGAUGACGGCUCUAUGAGUUAGUAAACUGUCUUUUGUAUAGUGGGUAAAUGUAGGUACGUGUACCUAUUUGAAAGUAAUAUACGAAUAAGGAUCGGCUAACUCCGUG